rnacentral:rRNA from 1 species
GAAUGCUGACAUAAGUAACGAUAAAGCGGGUGAAAAGCCCGCUCGCCGGAAGACCAAGGGUUCCUGUCCAACGUUAAUCGGGGCAGGGUGAGUCGACCCCUAAGGCGAGGCCGAAAGGCGUAGUCGAUGGGAAACAGGUUAAUAUUCCUGUACUUGGUGUUACUGCGAAGGGGGGACGGAGAAGGCUAUGUUGGCCGGGCGACGGUUGUCCCGGUUUAAGCGUGUAGGCUGGUUUUCCAGGCAAAUCCGGAAAAUCAAGGCUGAGGCGUGAUGACGAGGCACUACGGUGCUGAAGCAACAAAUGCCCUGCUUCCAGGAAAAGCCUCUAAGCAUCAGGUAACAUCAAAUCGUACCCCAAACCGACACAGGUGGUCAGGUAGAGAAUACCAAGGCGCUUGAGAGAACUCGG